rnacentral:misc_RNA from 1 species
GGUUUUAAAACAAGGCAGGGAAGAGGGGCAAAGAGAGAAAAGCCUUUACCUUUGAGCAGACGACGAGCUCAGUAUCGUCACCAAGCUGCGAAAAGCUCUCUGUUCACCGCUCUUUCGUCUCCAGCAUCUACUGGACCCGCAGACUGUCGCUCGACCUCCAAAGCGUCUUACCCUAAACUGGUUUUUCUUGCCUCCGAUUCAUCGAAACGGCACACACCCUUCCCAGAGGGUGACAACCAAAGACGCAUCGACUGACAAGCGAAGGACUUCCAGUUACCUUCUGUUUCUAACGGUGUCACCACCAACGGGGGCACUUGGAAGUGACUCGCCGGCGAGAUAUCAAACUAAGUUUGUUUCUCAGUCUUGCUUUGCUCUACAGAAGGCAAGAUUACCCAUCUCAACAGCGAAGGUAAGUGUCUAUUUUUAUCAUUCUAAUCUCUUGAUUAGAACUAUUGGGUAUUGAGCAAUUCUUGUUCUGAUGAUGAGGUGUUGGUUCCUUGGCUGUUUAAUCAAGCUGGGAAAUAUUUGGCUUGAAAUAGUUAUGAUGUGAGAUGUUCUAAAUCUGAAAUAUAAUUUAUAAAAGCUAUUUUCAAUUGCUUGUUGAAUGGCGACAAAUGAUUCAUAUAGUCCACCCCAAUUAGUUUGGAAUUAAGGAUUAGUUGUUGAUAUUGUUGUAUUUUGAAUUGCUUGAAGGGAAAAUUUUGAAAUUGGAAGGUUUGAGUUUGAUAAUACAUUUUUUUUCCCUUCAAUUUAUUACAUCUAUCAUGAAUGUGAGUAAAAAACUUCAUUGAGUCUGGAUUUCAAUUAAUUAUGAAAAGACAACCAUCUUAAAUAAUUUAUCAUGUACAUUCUAUCUAAUAAGCAUUGAGUGAGCUUUCAGUCAAACAAGUUAAACUAAAAUCAUGUCUAAAUUCGUUAUUUGAAAAGUUUUCUUCCAAACAUAGCAUGUGCUUCGUGAUCAUUUGGGAUUCCUUUGUUGUAACAUGACUUCGUUCUUUGUCUUCUCUAUGGUAAACAUAACUGAUAUUGGAGAUGAAAGUAUCUGUGUUUUUUACUUGUGACAUACUUUAGUCUGUUAUGGGCACCUUGAAGCUGUCUUUUCAAUUCAAAUCAUCAUGUGCAUGUCAUGUUUUUGUACAACUGAAAAGCAAAUAAGAGAAGACAAUCUACAAACCUAGUUAUAAUAGAGUGGAGAAUCCUGCUUGAUGCAAUUUUUUGAUGUUUUAAACAGUUAGAAAUUUUGUGGAAAAGCAUAUCAGAAUUCCUCCAAAUGGCUUUGGUUGUAAUCUGUGGCCAGCCAUGCAGUGGGAAGUCUACAGCUGCUCUUUGCUUAGCUGAAGCUCUAAGAGAAUCUGAAUCAAAAUUAAACGUUAGGGUCAUUGAUGAUGCUUACUUCCAUCUUGAUCGUAAUCAGAGUUAUGCCAAUAUGACUGCAGAGAAAAAUUUAAGAGGAGUACUCAGGUCUGAAGUUGAUAGAUCUGUAUCAAAAGACAAUAUAAUCAUAUUAGAUUCUUUGAACAGCAUCAAGGGCUACAGGUAUGAGCUUUGGUGUUUGGCUCGUGCUGCAGGAAUAAGAUACUGUGUACUUUUUUGCGAUGUUGAAGAAACUCAAUGCCAAAAAUGGAAUGAGCAGCGCAGAGAAAAGGGAGAAGCUGCAUAUGACAAUGCCAUAUUUGAGGACUUGGUAAGAAGGUUUGAGACACCAGAUAAAAGAAACCGAUGGGAUUCUCCUUUGUUUGAGUUUUGGCCAAGUAAAGACGGAAUUCAGAAAUCUUCUGCUGCCAUUUUAGAUGCUAUUUCAUACUUGACAAAAAAAGUGGACUCCAAAUCUCGUGACGUGAAAAUUUUACAGCCAACAAUUGCUACACAAAAUACACGUUUUUCAGAGGCAAAUUCUUUGUACGAGUUGGACAGGGCAACACAAGAGGUGAUCAAUGUCAUUGUAGAGGCACAAUCCCAGGCAAUUGGAGGUCCAGUAAAUGGUGUUUCGCUUGGUCGGGAUUUACCAACUCUCAAUAUUUCAAGAUCAGUUGGCUUGCCUGAGCUACGGAGACUACGGAGAACUUUCAUUAAGUUGACAGGUCAAACGAGCUUAAGUGGACCACCACCACCUGCAGAUGCAGAGAGCGCAAAAAGGAUGUUUGUGGAUUAUUUGAAUAGGGAAUUGGGAACUGCUUGAAGGAGGAUAUGGGGGAAUGAUAUUAUGCUAAUUUGCUACCACAAACAUCUGUGGAGAAAGUGAAACCUGCGAGUUAAAUUCUAAAAUGGUCAGUCUUUUAAUAUAUUGUACCAACAGAUUUACACAAAAACACCUGCAUUUUAUUGGAUAGUCACUCUGUGUUGGCAAAUCUAUAUUGUAUUAGUGAAGGCUGAAUUCUUGCUAAUGAGGCAUCAAUGUACCAUUGGCUCUAUAAUUUUCUUCCUUAUUUUCUCUUGGACAUUUUGAGCCCCAAUGGUUGAUGCAUCAUGAAAUUUUCUCAAUUGAUGGUCCCUGUUUAAUAAAUGUUAUCAGUUGCAAAGUGUUUUUCCUGUCAGAGGCAAUUGUUGGAUUGCCCUCAAA